rnacentral:rRNA from 1 species
GGCGUGGAUAAGACAUGCAAGUCGAACGAUUACUAUUGAGUAGCAAUAUUCGGUAGUGAGAGUGGCGCAAGGGUGCGUAACACGUGGGUAAUUUGCCGUGAAGUCUGGGAUAACUUGCUGAAAGGCGAGCUAAUACCGGAUGUGAUUUCUGGAAGGCAUCUUCUGGAACUUAAAGUCGGGGACCGUAAGGCCUGACGCUUCUCGAUAAGCCCGCGGCCUAUCAGCUAGUUGGUGAGGUAACGGCUCACCAAGGCUAAGACGGGUAGCUGAUCUGAGAGGACGACCAGCCACACUGGAACUGAGACACGGUCCAGACACCUACGGGUGGCAGCAGUCGAGAAUUUUUCUCAAUGGGCGAAAGCCUGAAGGAGCGACGCCGCGUGGGGGAUGAAUGGCUUCGGCCCGUAAACCCCUGUCAUUUGCGAUCAAACCUUACGACCUAACACGUCGUGAGCUGAUAGUAGCGGAAGAGGAAGGGACGGCUAACUCUGUGCCAGCAGCCGCGGUAAUACAGAGGUCCCAAGCGUUGUUCGGAUUCACUGGGCGUAAAGGGUGCGUAGGCGGUCGGGUAAGUCUGACGUGAAAUCUUCAAGCUCAACUUGGAAACUGCGUCGGAUACUAUUCGGCUAGAGGAAUGGAGGGGAGACUGGAAUACUUGGUGUAGCAGUG